CUCAUCCGCUUCUACAGACGUGUGAUACUCUGUGGAUCUGAGACCUCUGGUGGUUGUGGUGGUGAACCGCCGGCGUCUCCAGAGCGACGGUGCGUUUAGGGACCAAAUGCGGAUGCAGGGGGUUCAGUCUAUGAAUACUCCAGAGGAGAGCAGAUUUAUGGGAGUAUUUUUUACCUCCAGUGAACCCAAUCGUCCUCAUUACGCAACGGGAGAGUCAGCCGACGCACCAAGUGUUCAUGAAUCUGCUCACCUGACAGCUCGUCCACAGCCGGGAAGAGUCUGUGAUGGGGGGAAAGGUCACGGGGGAACAUACAAGGGGGUGGAAGCUGUGCAGAGGGCGGCUGUGGCAAGAUUGAGAUGGACUGAACCACAGCACAUGUAUGAGAUGCUAGUAACUUUAAAACAGACCCCCAAAAUAAGGGGAGGGGGGUGUUUUCCUACAAAUUCUCAUUUUAAGUUCACCAUGUUUCUUCUGUUUGCUGCUGUAGGAGCCAUUUACGUUUAUUGUUGGCAUGAUAUUUUAUUUAGUUUGGAUGUAUUUAUAUUAGUAUUUUGGACACUAGGGGGCAGUGAUUAGAUGCAGGUGGUUGGAUAUGAGGGGCACAGGUGACAGGAAGUGGGGAACACAGGUUCAUCUGUUUAUACUAUUUAAUGCAAUAAAAUCACAAACUUCAACUGAA